GAGUUUGAUCAUGGCUCAGGAUGAACGCUGGCGGCGUGCCUAAUACAUGCAAGUCGAGCGAACAGAUAAGGAGCUUGCUCCUUUGACGUUAGCGGCGGACGGGUGAGUAACACGUGGAUAACCUACCUAUAAGACUGGGAUAACUUCGGGAAACCGGAGCUAAUACCGGAUAACAUAUUGAACCGCAUGGUUCAAUAGUGAAAGGCGGCUUUGCUGUCACUUAUAGAUGGAUCCGCGCCGUAUUAGCUAGUUGGUAAGGUAACGGCUUACCAAGGCAACGAUACGUAGCCGACCUGAGAGGGUGAUCGGCCACACUGGAACUGAGACACGGUCCAGACUCCUACGGGAGGCAGCAGUAGGGAAUCUUCCGCAAUGGGCGAAAGCCUGACGGAGCAACGCCGCGUGAGUGAUGAAGGUCUUCGGAUCGUAAAACUCUGUUAUCAGGGAAGAACAAAUGUGUAAGUAACUGUGCACAUCUUGACGGUACCUGAUCAGAAAGCCACGGCUAACUACGUGCCAGCAGCCGCGGUAC
rnacentral:rRNA from 1 species